GCGGUGAUGACUUUCUACACCACGCAUUAGACUGCUGAUGAGGGUGAUGUGAGCUGGAGUCUGAGC